AGGAGGAACAGCCCCAGUGGCGGGGCUCUCGGAAACCUGGACGAUUCAGCCCCUGCAGUAGCUCGGGAGCUCUCCGUCUGCAGGGCCUGGAGGCUCCGGGGCGGG
rnacentral:pre_miRNA from 1 species